rnacentral:rRNA from 1 species
UACCAGCUCUCCGAGUGGUGUGGAUGUUUAUUGGGCCUAAAGCAUCCGUAGCCGGCUGGACAAGUCCCCUGUUAAAUCCACCGAUUUAAUCGUUGGUGUGCGGGGGAUACUGUUCGGCUAGGGGACGGGAGAGGCCGACGGUAUUUCCGGGGUAGGGUGAAAUCCUAUAAUCCCGGGAAGACCACCAGUGGCGAAGGCUGUCGGCUAGAACGCGCCCGACGGUGAGGGAUGAAAGCUGGGGGAGCGAACCGGAUUAGAUACCCGGGUAGUCCCAGCUGUAAACGAUGCAGGCUAGGUGUUUGGGCGGCCACGUGCCGCUCUAGUGCCGCAAGGAAGCUGUUAAGCCUGCCGCCUGGGGAGUACGGCCGCAAGGCUGAAACUUAAAGGAAUUGGCGGGGAGCACCACAAGGGGUGAAGCUUGCGGUUU